rnacentral:rRNA from 1 species
UACGUAGGGUGCAAGCGUUAAUCGGAAUUACUGGGCGUAAAGCGUGCGCAGGCGGUUUUGCAAGACAGAUGUGAAAUCCCCGGGCUCAACCUGGGAACUGCAUUUGUGACUGCAUAGCUAGAGUGCGGCAGAGGGAGAUGGAAUUCCGCGUGUAGCAGUGAAAUGCGUAGAUAUGCGGAGGAACACCGAUGGCGAAGGCAAUCUCCUGGGCCUGCACUGACGCUCAUGCACGAAAGCGUGGGGAGCAAACAGG